rnacentral:rRNA from 1 species
UACGGGGGGGGGCAAGCGUUGUUCGGAAUUACUGGGCGUAAAGGGCGCGUAGGCGGUUUGCUAAGUUGGAUGUGAAAACUCUGGGCUUAACCCAGAGCCUGCAUCCAAAACUGGCAAACUUGAGUACUGGAGGGGAAAGCGGAAUUCCUGGUGUAGCGGUGAAAUGACGCAGAUAUCAGGAGGAACACCGAUGGCGAAGGCAGCUCGCUGGGACGGUACUGACGCUGAGACGCGAAAGCGUGGGGAGCGAACAGG